UACAGAGGGGGCAAGCGUUAUUCGGAAUUAUUGGGCGUAAAGGGCGCGUAGGCGGCUUUGCAAGUGACGGGUGAAAUCCCUCGGCUUAACCGAGGAACUGCCUGUCAGACUGCAUGGCUUGAGACCAGGAGAGGUGAGUGGAAUUCCCAGUGUAGCGGUGAAAUGCGUAGAUAUUGGGAGGAACACCAGUGGCGAAGGCGGCUCACUGGACUGGUACUGACGCUGAGGCGCGAAGGUCAGGGGAGCAAACGGG
rnacentral:rRNA from 1 species